rnacentral:tRNA from 1 species
GGAUUGCAGCUCAGUGGUAGAGCACUCGCCUAGCACAUGCGAGGUCCUGGGUUUGAUCCUCAGCACCA